CGGGACGGGUGAGUAAUGUAUGGGGAUCUGCCUGAUGGGCGGGGGAUAACUACUGGAAACGGUAGCUAAUACCGCAUAAUGUCUACGGACCAAAGCGGGGGACCUCCGGGCCUCGCGCCAUCAGAUGAACCCAUAUGGGAUUAGCUAGUAGGUAAGGUAACGGCUUACCUAGGCGACGAUCCCUAGCUGGUCUGAGAGGAUGAUCAGCCACACUGGGACUGAGACACGGCCCAG
rnacentral:rRNA from 1 species